AGCAGCCGCGGUAAUUCCAGCUCCAAUAGCGUAUAUUAAAGUUGUUGCAGUUAAAAAGCUCGUAGUUGAAUUUCGGGAUCAAUAUAUCGGUCGUGCCUUGGUACGUACUGGUAUCAUUGGUUUCUCCUUUCUGACGAACCAUGAUGUCAUUAAUUUGGUGUUAUGGGAAGUUAGGACUGUUACUUUGAAAAAAUUAGAGUGUUUAAAGCAGGCUUUGGCUUGAAUACAUUAGCAUGGAAUAAUGAAAUAGGACGUUCGAACCUAUUUUGUUGGUUUCUAGGAUCAACGUAAUGAUUAAUAGGGAUAGUUGGGGGCAUUAGUAUUCAAUUGUCAGAGGUGAAAUUCUUGGAUUUAUUGAAGACUAACUACUGCGAAAGCAUUUGCCAAGGAUGUUUUCAUUAAUCAAGAACGAAAGUUAGGGGAUCGAAGACGAUCAGAUACCGUCGUAGUCUUAACCAUAAACUAAUGCGACUAGGGAUCGGAUGAUGUUAAUUUUU
rnacentral:rRNA from 1 species